AAAAUCCUCAUACCUGCCAAGUUUUGAAAGUGCCCAUGGGGGUUUUAGUGCGCGACAACAAUUUCAAAGGUUACAAUUCUUUGCGACGACUAUUUUGCGUGUGCUGUUUUGUGGUCUAGAAAAAGUGUCAUAUUUGUAAGAUGAGCUUACAUGCCUUUUUCUUAAGUUUAUUUGCAUGAUUCUAGUUAUUAUAUAUCUUUAUUUUUCAAAAUAAUUGGAC
rnacentral:lncRNA from 1 species